CCUACGGGAGGCAGCAGUGAGGAAUAUUGGUCAAUGGACGAGAGUCUGAACCAGCCAAGUAGCGUGAAGGAUGACUGCCCUAUGGGUUGUAAACUUCUUUUAUAAAGGAAUAAAACGAGGCACGUGUGCCUUUUUGCAUGUACUUUAUGAAUAAGGAUCGGCUAACUCCGUGCCAGCAGACGCGGUAAUACGGAGGAUCCGAGCGUUAUCCGGAUUUAUUGGGUUUAAAGGGAGCGUAGAUGGGUUGGUAAGUCAGUUGUGAAAGUUUGCGGCUCAACCGUAAAAUUGCAAUUGAUACUGGCAGUCUUGAGUACAGUUGAGGUAGGCGGAAUUCGUGGUGUAGCGGUGAAAUGCUUAGAUAUCACGAAGAACCCCGAUUGCGAAGGCAGCUUACUAAGCUGUGACUGACAUUGAUGCUCGAAAGUGUGGGGAUCAAACAGGAUUAGAUACCCUGGUAGUC
rnacentral:rRNA from 1 species